CUGGCCUUUCUUAGCUAUGGCAGCGGCGGCGGUAGCGGGCCAUUCGGCUCCAUCCCUAUCCAUGUUCAUCCUGGAUCUUGGAGACCUCCAGCCGGCGGCAAUGGAUAGUGGAAAAGCCCGCGGGUGACGUUCAGGCCUGCCGUGUGACGGACCGCCUCCUGCGAGAUGCCUGGGGGAGGGGCGGCCCCGGGCCAGGCCAAGGUUUCUGGUGUUAAACUUCCUUCUCAGACUCACCAUCAAGUAGCUCGUCCUAUACAAAACAGAAGAGUUGGAACUGUGGCCAAUAUGAGGAGAUUGCAUCGGAAAGGGUGCUGAUCACUGACUGACUGGGUCCUAGCAAUUGUUGCUUUGCUAGAUGGGAAUUGGCUUUUCAUCAGCUUUGAAUGGGACGGGGGAGCAUGGAGCCUUCUUCAAGAUCUCGAUACCUUUUGGAUAUCAGAACAAGUAAAUAAAUGAUGCUUAAUAAAUCUAAUUUUUACA